rnacentral:rRNA from 1 species
AUGUGGGGCUUUUUUUGGUUCCGUGAAGGAUCUGUUUAUCAUGCUGACGCUACUUCUCGCUCUCCUGUCUACACGGGUUGUUGUCGAGCGGGCAGGAUUUCGUUGCCAAAGUUUGCUGACUGGCCCUCUCCUUUGGAUAGAUUGAUGUGUUUUGAUGGUGAUGCGGGUUCCUCUCGUUUCAUGCGGUUAAUACGUCAAUAUAAUUCUAUGUUCUGUUUUACAUCGUUGGGUGCACAAGUUGACCAUAGUAUCAAUGUUGGAGGUGCUCCAUACGUUUUCAAGAUGAAUGGGGUGGUUUACCAUCGUAUUGGUUCGUUGUUGCCGGCUGGCGGUGCACCACCAAAGUUUGCGCAACUGUAUAUGGUGGAUUCUGCUGACGAGUUGGACUGUAGGUUGAAUGUGUUUGACAGAGAAGAAACUAGCUCACUUGAGCCCGAUCCUGAAAUUGUUUCUUCAUUGAUAGACAUGCUUAAUAUGCAUCACCGUCUGGUGCACAAAUUUAGAAUUGCACGACAGAGUCUGUGUACUCCUGGUGUUUCUGAUGUCUCAAUUCGUUUCUUGAGCAGCGAUGGCGGUGCUCAUGGUACGCGUUUCUCCGGUCCUACCACUUCUGAAGUGGCUGCGCUUAUAGUUGGUGAUCUCAUGGAUAGUGCAAGCAUCCAGCCCUGA